rnacentral:rRNA from 1 species
GAUGAACGCUGGCGGCGUGCCUAAUACAUGCAAGUCGAGCGAACAGACGAGGAGCUUGCUCCUCUGACGUUAGCGGCGGACGGGUGAGUAACACGUGGAUAACCUACCUAUAAGACUGGGAUACCUUCGGGAAACCGGCGCUAAUACCGGAUAAUAUAUUGAACCGCAUGGUUCAAUAGUGAAUGACGGUUUUGCUGUCACUUAUAGAUGUAUCCGCGCCGCAUUAGCUAGUUGGUAAGGUAACGGCUUACCAAGGAAGCGAUGCGUAGCCGACCUGAGCGGGGGAACGGCCACACAGAAGGUGAAACACGGUCCUGACUCCGAGGGACGGCAGCGGUAGGUAAUGGUCCGCAAUGGGCGAAAGCCUGACGGAUCAACGCCGCGUGAGUGAUGAAGGUCUGCGGAUCGUAAAACGCUGUUAUUAGUGAAGAACAAAUGUGUAAGUAACGAUGCACGUCUUGACGGUACCUAAUCAGAAAGCCACGGCUAACUACGUG